UACGUAGGGGGCUAGCGUUGUCCGGAAUCAUUGGGCGUAAAGCGCGCGUAGGUGGCCCAGUAAGUCCGUUCUGAAAGUCACAGGCUCAACCUGUGAAAGCGGAUGGAUACUGCUGGGCUAGAGUCCGGAAGAGGCGAGUGGAAUUCCUGGUGUAGCGGUGGAAUGCGCAGAUAUCAGGAGGAACACCAACGGCGAAGGCAGCUCGCUGGGACGGUACUGACACUAAGGCGCGAAAGCGUGGGGAGCGAACAGG
rnacentral:rRNA from 1 species